rnacentral:rRNA from 1 species
CCUACGGGUGGCAGCAGUCGAGAAUCAUUCACAAUGGGGGAAACCCUGAUGGUGCGACGCCGCGUGGGGGAAUGAAGGUCUUCGGAUUGUAAACCCCUGUCAUGUGGGAGCAAAUUAAAAAGAUCGUACCACAAGAGGAAGAGACGGCUAACUCUGUGCCAGCAGCCGCGGUAAUACAGAGAUCUCAAGCGUUGUUCGGAAUCACUGGGCGUAAAGCGUGCGUAGGCUGUUUCGUAAGUCGUGUGUGAAAGGCGCGGGCUCAACCCGCGGACGGCACAUGAUACUGCGAGACUAGAGUAAGGGAGGGGGAACCGGAAUUCUCGGUGUAGCAGUGAAAUGCGUAGAUAUCGAGAGGAACACUCGUGGCGAAGGCGGGUUCCUGGACAUUAACUGACGCUGAGGCACGAAGGCCAGGGGAGCGAAAGGGAUUAGAUACCCGGGUAGUC